rnacentral:tRNA from 1 species
GGGGGAUUAGCUCAGUUGGCUAGAGCGCUUGCUUUGCACGCAAGAGGUCAUCGGUUCGACUCCGAUAUUCUCCA